AAUGAGUGCAGUUUUUCAUCCGCUCCACCAGGCGGCAGAAUCGGGCUUUAGGUUCAGUUUGACACAUUCAGAUCCUUGACAACAGUCACAACAACACGUGCAGACUGAGUUAAGUAUAAAUUCUGCAGAUGACAGCUCAGUUACAGACUCAUAAUGUCACUUAACAGCACACACUUCAGUCCAUAAACAAACAAAACAGACAAACGCUGUGAUAAAGUGCAGGAGUGGAAGAUGUCACGCGACUCACCUAAUAAGGGAUGUUUGGACCGUUACACUCAGCCAACAGAAGCAUGUGGACAGACAAUGAACAUCUGCUGAUGCACAGGCCAGAAGUAUAACCCCUGCUGGACAUUGUUGUGGAACUCAGGGGAGGACACCAUGAUCCCCCACACCUUCUCACUCACACCAGACCAUUCACUCAUAUCGCGGAGAUCUGGCUGGACUUGAACCAGCAACCUCGGAAACCGUGAGGCAGCACUCUUACCACUGAGCCACAGAUCUCUUGUCUGGCCAUGUGCAGGAACUUGUAUUUCACUAUUCUCUCGGUCAUUUUACAAUAAGCCAGUUAAAUUUCAAACCCAUUGAGUUGGGGUUUGAACCCACAGCACCACCGCAGUUCUGAUCGUAUGUAAUGUGUGUUUAGCCAUUAGUGCCACACUUGCUUUCACAUUGCAAGCUUGCGUUUGCACCACUUUGUUGGAUAUAAUGCAAUACAUGAGCUUUAAUGUAAGCAAUAGUGGGGCUUGAACUCAGGACGCCACGAUCUCAACACAACACUCUGCAUCCUGAGCCACUGGAACAAGUGAGUUACAGGUUGU
ensembl:lncRNA